ACGCGUAUUCUCAGAGAUUGAGCAGUAUAAAUGCAUAUAUCAUAUCAUAUCAAUAUUUCUUUUCGUCAAGAGUAAAUUGCACAACAUCUUUUUUGGCUAUCUUAAGGCUAUGUUUUGGAGAAUGAUUAAUACGAGAUUGCUGAGACGUUGGCGAUUUGAUACGUCUGCAGUAGAUUAUGUGCAAUUGCUGUGUUGGUAACAGAUCAUAUUUAUCGUAUUGAUAAUCAUUGGCAAUUGUUACCAACGUUAUGCGAGAUUGCUAAUUAUAUGUUAGAAAACUAUAAUAGUGAAUUUUGCUAAAGAAAUUAGUUGUAAGAGCCAUAUUAAUUUGAAAACUAUGAGUCUUCGAAACCAUCGAUUUUUUUUUUAACAGUUUGUAUAUAACAUAUAAUGUGUCACGUGUUGUAAGGGGAGAAUGAUUCACCAAACGGUGCUCACGUGCGUUCAACGUAAGCACACGUGGGCAUAGCUUAGCAAACAGUACAGAAAUGUAAUCAACGUAUCACAUUUCUGUCACAUUUUUGUUUUCCUGCAAAUUACCUUUCUCUGCAAAAAGGCUAGCUCGUCCCAAGAGCUUCCAAUAUUACUCGUACAACAUCCCCUCACAGCUACUAUCCAAAUCAAAUACAUCAAACAGAGAUCGAUGACCACUAAAUCGAUCACAGGUCACGGAUCUCGUUUCCAGAAGGAGAGAUCACCAAAAGACACGCUCUUGCUGCACCUGCAGGUGCAACCAUAACCUCAAGCAACGGAGCUGGCUAUAAAUAAUGAUUGCGAAUUUAUUUUUAGCGAUGGAGGUCUCGCUAUACAGAGAAGAACAAGGAUAAAAGGAAGAAGACAGAGAUAAGGAGGACCAAAGCAGAAACGACGGGGAAAGGAGAAAGCAGAAGAAAGAAAAGUGGAGGGAGGAAGAGAGCAAGAGAGAAUCCGCUAGCAGUGGGCGGCUUUCCUCGAGGAACUCACGGCUGAACGGACACACAGGGGGUUAUGUUUGGCAGACUGGUUAACUGUCCGGCUGGAUGGCCGAACGGUGGUACUCUUGGUUCGCCGCUUCUGGCUUCGCUUCUCUCUUCGCUUACACAGAGUUUGUUGACUCUCGGUUUCAGCACGCCGGCUGACCAUGACCUCGCCGAACGAUCCGCGAAGUAAUACCGAGACGACUCUGACUCCCUGCCACCCGCCGUCGACGUCGUUGUCCUCGUUGUCCCUCCUAUACGGUAACACUUGCAUACAACAGCCUAGCUGGCGAGAAGCAGUUGCACGUCACCGGAGGAGGAACAGCUCGAGUUCGACGCUGAUCCACCUGACGCUCGGUGCUGGGAGCCGCGUUGUCGACUGUGCCGAUGCGGAAUCGGAAUUUCGACGGAAACGAACGACGUACUAAGCGGAAUAGCGGUCAUUGCCAUCCGGAUGGUGGCGUCGAUGCUUGUACCGAAGAUGGAAGUUCGAGUGGAUGGAGGAGCAGCUUAGGCUGUCGGUUAGGUUUUAAGUUGAUUCGGUUGCACCGUGUUGAUUCUCAGUUGGAAUAUUUGUGUAAUUGUUGGAAGAGUAUCGUGGGAAAUUGUAUGAUUUAUUCUGCGCAUGGUUAAUAAAGAUUUUUUAUAUGAAUGGCUAUGAACAGAGACUUUUGUAUUUAAAUAUGCAAGGCUAUAGCGAUUUCUUCGCUUUUAACGGGGCUUGUGAGAAAAUUUAAUCGUCUUGCGAUAUUUAGCUUGAAUCUAUGGAAAUAUUAAAAAUAUUCGAAUGAAUUCAAUAUUUUUGCGAACGAACGAGAAAUAUUCUAAUCUCUUGUCUCCAAAGGUUCUUAACAUGUAUGAAUAUUCCUCCCUUUUAAUAACACGCCGCUAAGCAACAUGCUAUAUUUAUGUAAUUAUUCAGAACUCUUUUAGAAUCUGAUGCAAAUUCUCAAGGUAUUUUUAUACCGAUUCAGCGAUAUUAGAAGGUCUCUUUAAACAUUAAUUUACAAAUCUCUAAAAAAAAAAAAAAAAUGUAAUGCUACAGAUGGUAUAAAUUACCUGGAAUAGAAGAAGACUAGAACGAUAUCUUUGAAAAAAUAUUUAAAAGUAAUCUUUGACGCAGACGUUUUCCCUUAUUUUUCGAAUGUAAUUCAUUAUACGAAGAAUUAUUCAAACAGCUUGUUUUAUACGUCCAAUUAUGCGGCCGAUCGUAGCAAGUAAUCUGUAAAUCAGUUAGCAGCGAGAAAUGAAUUUCAAAGAUCAAUCUAGAUCAAUGACUCCAAAUUAAGCGACUAAGUCAGACUCGCGUGCGCAAUUCGAGAGAUUGUAAGCAUCAAUUUGUAUGGCUGAUUUCACAAGCAGCGAAAUUACUCGUACGAAUUAUUGGAGUAGAGCGCACCUCAUUAAAAUACAAUUUAAUUUUCUACAGCGCAAUAAGAUAUAUCAAAAUGAUUAUCGUUUGUAUCUCGAACGUAGUUUUUAGGAAUACGAGCCAGUUAAAAGGAAACAAUUGUGCUAGAAGAAUACGCAUGGAAAAAAAAAUAGAAUUUGAAGAAAAAAAAAAAAAUAUUAGACAACCUGAAAUAAUUCUUUCGUCAUAUAGGUAGCAGUUAUUUACCGUUUAAGAGACCCAAAUCAACAAGCUCAACAAUGUCACACACGAUUACAGCAGAGCGUAGCGAGGGUUAAUCCCGAAACGUGGUCAGGAGGACCUGAACUCGAAAUGACGGUAAAUACGAAGUUCAUGAAAAGAGAGAUGGGGUCAAUCAUCGUCAGGCUUGCGUGGAAAAAAUAUUAAUCUCUGUAAGCGUAUCUGGGGCAGGGAAUAUCGAUCGUACGAUCUGGGUCAGAGCUUGCAUGCACCUUGCUGCACGCGUACGCGGCAGGGUGCAGCGGCCAUGUCGUUUGAACAACGACGUACACGUGUGUAGCCCUCGUGAAAAGUCUCACGUGCAAGGUGCCUCUCCACCUCUGGAAACUUACAACAGUCAGCGCGAUAAGAGCGAAUAAAUGCGAACCGCCGACUGCUAAGAGACUGCUUCCUUAGUUUAAUUCCCCGCGUUGGAAACACGUGGCCAACGGACACGAGGAGUACAAAAUAACCCGGUGAAUUACACAAUAAGGAGAUUGAAGAUAAAUGUAUAAUUGCAUGGAUGACUGACGAGAUUAACUAUGACAAUGUCUAAGAUGAAACGAUGGAACAAUGGACGACAGAGAAUCGCUAACCGAUAUUUUAUCUAACUCGAAUUCGAAUAUAAUUUGAGAAAUUCAUCUCUAAUACACCAUCAAUGAAACUUUUAUCGUAAUUUCGAAAUAUCCACGCUGUUAGAGAAAAUUUCAUGAUGAUCGUUAAAAGAAGAUAUACGUAUAUAUGAAUAUUAAUUAAAAUCCCAACAUCUGCCUAAUAUUUAUCUAAUAUUUCAAUAAAAGGUCACGUCCCAUACUACUGCUCAAUAAUAAUCGUAUUUUAUACGUUUUAUACGUCUUUUACCAUAAAUACAAAAUUAGAAGCUUAAAACAUCAUACACUUAUGAAAUAUCAGUAAAAUACUUUUUACGUAAUAAUAGGAGCGAGAUAAAAAAAAGUAUGUUAUCUUCAUUUUUCUACUUAAAUCAAACGAGUGCUUAAAAGGUUAAUUUUAUAAAAACGAAAAGAAGAGCAGAAUCGUGCUCCCACGGGAAACAGAUAAGGACUGUUACGAUCGCCAAUUUGAUGUGUGACUAUACAUGGCUGAACACGUGCGUAGAAGGAGAGGCCGUAAAAUCGAUCGUCUGCAACGCAUCUCUAUGCGUUGCACGUGACUCAACGCCACUCUGCCAUGGCGGACAAACAGCCCGGCUGCUGUAUCAACCAACUGUGCUCGAAAUAGUUACCUAAUAACGAAACGAUUAUGCAGAAAUUUCACUGUAUAGAAAAACAGCAACGUGAAUUCUGCUUCUUUUUAAAUGUACUUUCAAUUCAUCUUCUUUUCACCGUAAUUCGAUUUUCAUAUAUCUACGAUCUAUUCGAAAGUAUUUUUCGUUGUACAUCAUUUUUUGCAUGAUUCCUGAGGAAGCUGAAUUUCAAAGGACGAAUUAUAGAAUAGGCCAACGCUAGAAAAUCGAUCUUAUGUUCGAUAAGUAAUCGGCAAGAAAAUUCGUUCCGUCAUCGACAACGAUCAACGGUAACCAAGAAAUGUUCUAUCAUUACCGAUAAUGGUUAUUCGCGACCAAAAUUAAUUUUCCAUCAUCGAUACACGUAACCGAAAAAAUAUAGAUUGCUUAUGGCGGUUAGCGUCACCAAAGUCGUUCCAACUAAUUUUAAGGUUAACUCCUCCAUCACAAUUUUAAUUUGGGUUAGAACUGCUACGUGCGAGCGCGCACGCGGACGCGCGCAUAACCUCUGAUUUUUAUUGUAGAAAGUUCAUGUACGAGAUGAUUAAGUAUUCCUAUUUUGACAUCCCAUAAACUACCCAGUACAUACAUUUAUCACACUCUUGCUCAUAAUUCACGUUUGACUGUGACUGCUUCCGACAUAUACCAUUAAAACUGAGACAAUCGCUCAAAGACGCUGAAACGCAUACAAAUAGCCUGUUCGUAGGAUAGAAGAAAGUAGCCGCGUCGUAUCCCUCUGUGAUUGUUAGGGCCGCGGGCGCGUAGAAAAUAAGAAAAAUCGAUAAAUGGUAAAACAGAAGCAUGCAUAGAGCCGACGACGACUGUAUAAUGCCACGGGCCCCGUUAUAAAUAUUGCAGCCACCGAUACAAUGCACAAUACGCGAGCUACACACGUACGAGAGAUUACGAACUGACGAGUCACGCGUCACGUGAAUCACCCUUAGGGAGAUUUGGCUCCAUUCAAUGCCAGAGGGUGAAAAGUUGACGAAAAAAAGGCUCGCCGAUCGAACAGAAGGGGUUGCUGCAGCCUCCCUUCGCUUCGGACCAAAGACAGUCAAGUACUCUACACAAUAUACAAAUUUAUACUGUGCCGCGAACAAAAUCUUUCGCGUUAAUUUCGGUAUAUUCGGUAUAAUUAAGCGUACGCGUAUAAUUGUUAUAUGAACUAUUAAAAA